AUGUAGGAUAUAACCAAGUCUAAUAUCAUCAAUCUGAGCAACCUUGAUGUGGUAUAUAUUUCGAUAGGUCAUGAAUAUAAUGCAAGAGCAUGAUGGUGCAAGAAAAGGACACAGAGUCAUGGAAAUAUAAUCACGUGGAAUGGAUGGACCUAUGAGCAUGGCAGAUCAUCUACAAAUCAUUGUUGUUAUCUCUGUGUAAUUAUGUGUAAAAUUUAGCACCUCAAAAGCAUGGCC
rnacentral:lncRNA from 1 species